rnacentral:misc_RNA from 1 species
GGAUUUUAUUUUAACAAAUUGAAAAUAAGUGACUUAAAUGAAAUAACCAUAAAGUUGAGGGACGGUUGGUGCAAUUUACCCUUCAGCUUGGAGAACACUUAUAUAUUGAUAUUGUUUUCUCCUAUUUGCAGUUAUAUUUUUCUUCUAUGAUAAUAAAUAAUGCAUAAUAUGAAUUGAGUUAAAUGGCAAAAACAAAUUGCACAGUUUAGUAGUUAGUUAAGGGUUUUGUGUGGGUAUAUUAUGGUAACCCAUUUCUUAUAACCAAUGUUGCAGGCAGUGAGCAUUUUUAUAGACA